GGAACGGUACCCUUAAACACAAACUUGUGGAACGGUAUAAUACUGUUCCACAAGUUUGUGUUUAAGGGUACCGUUUUA
rnacentral:miRNA from 1 species